rnacentral:rRNA from 1 species
CCCUGGUAGUCCACGCCCUAAACGAUGUCUACUAGUUGUCGGGUCUUAAUUGACUUGGUAACGCAGCUAACGCGUGAAGUAGACCGCCUGGGGAGUACGGUCGCAAGAUUAAAACUCAAAGGAAUUGACGGGGACCCGCACAAGCGGUGGAUGAUGUGGAUUAAUUCGAUGCAACGCGAAAAACCUUACCUACCCUUGACAUGUACAGAAUCCCGAAGAGAUUUGGGAGUGUUCGAAAGAAAACUGUAACACAGGUGCUGCAUGGCUGUCGUCAGCUCGUGUCGUGAGAUGUUGGGUUAAGUCCCGCAACGAGCGCAACCCUUGUCAUUAGUUGCUACGAAAGGGCACUCUAAUGAGACUGCCGGUGACAAACCGGAGGAAGGUGGGGAUGACGUCAAGUCCUCAUGGCCCUUAUGGGUAGGGCUUCACACGUCAUACAAUGGUACAUACAGAGGGCCGCCAACCCGCGAGGGGGAGCUAAUCCCAGAAAGUGUAUCGUAGUCCGGAUUGUAGUCUGCAACUCGACUACAUGAAGUUGGAAUCGCUAGUAAUCGCGGAUCAGCAUGUCGCGGUGAAUACGUUCCCGGGUCUUGUACACACCGCCCGUCACACCAUGGGAGCGGGUUUUACCAGAACGUAGGUAGCCUAAC